CAUUCAUGCCUGCAUGUAUUCAUGCCUGAAGGACCCCGAGCCUCUUCUGAAGACCAGCCUGGGCUGCCGUGGUUGAGCCUUUAGUCUUGAGGGGAAGACUUCUGUAUGAAGACAGUGGAGAAUAAGGAAGGUGGAGACCAAAGGCCUUGAGCACGUGGGAACAUAAUGGGGAAGCCUCCAGGCUUCUCACAGGUCAAGAGCAAGGACUGUUCUAAACCUAACUGUAUGAAUACAAGCUGAAUCCCAGGCAGGGCAGGCACAGGGAAUGGGUUUGGGCUUCAGUAGAGACAUAGGCAGAUCAUUAUGCUACCUUGACCCCUAGGGUGCUGAGCUGUGAAGACUUGCUUCAGCCACGGAGGAGCGGAAACUGUGAGGCAGGGGACUUCCCCAGGGACUCAUUGAUGCCUUGUAGAAGCACUUGAGAGCCAUGACCAAUAUCUGGGUUUGUGUGUUUCUAGGUCUGUGUUUUCUAGGUCUUUUCACCUACUAACCAGCCUCUAGGUCUCAAAUGGUCCUAACUGAUGUGGGGGAAUCCAAGUAGAGCAGAGAAGGGAGUCCAGACAGGUCCAGAUGGAGGCACGUGGGGAAGGACAUAGGUCCUAAAAGUUGGACAAAUAUUUAGAGAUCAAUUUGUUCCAGUGACCACUCUUAGGACUCCAAUCUCCUCCCCACAGAGGGUAGCACCUGCCUGAGCCAGACAGGAAAAGGUCCAAGUCAGAGCCACCAGGGUAAUGGCUCCAAAGCAGAGGCAGAGGACAGCUGAAUACCCCGAAUAAAGACCCUCUCUGUAGACCAGAUUUGUCCCAGGGUGUAGAAGAGAACUUCACGGUCAGAGAUAGGGCUUCUCUGUGUAACAGCCCUGGCUGUCUUGGAACUCACUUUGUAGACCAGGUUGGCCUCAGACUCACAGAGAUCCACCUGCCUCUGCCUCUUGGGUUCUAGGACUAAAGGCAUGUGUAUCCAUCACCCAGCAGCCCUCUAUUAGUAAGCCAAAAUAAACACUUUCUUCUAUAAUU
rnacentral:lncRNA from 1 species